UACGUAGGGGGCAAGCGUUGUCCGGAAUCAUUGGGCGUAAAGCGCGUGUAGGCGGCUCGGUAAGUCCGCUGUGAAAGUCGGGGGCUCAACCCUCGGAUGCCGGUGGAUACUGUCGGGCUAGAGUACGGAAGAGGCGAGUGGAAUUCCUGGUGUAGCGGUGAAAUGCGUAGAUAUCUGGAAGAACACCAGUGGCGAAGGCGGUCAACUGGCCCGAAACUGACGCUGAGGCACGAAAGCGUGGGUAGCGAACAGG
rnacentral:rRNA from 1 species